rnacentral:rRNA from 1 species
UUAUUGGGCGUAAAGGGCUCGUAGGUGGUUGAUCGCGUCGGAAGUGAAAUCUUGGGGCUUAACCCUGAGCGUGCUUUCGAUACGGGUUGACUUGAGGAAGGUAGGGGAGAAUGGAAUUCCUGGUGGAGCGGUGGAAUGCGCAGAUAUCAGGAGGAACACCAGUGGCGAAGGCGGUUCUCUGGACCUUUCCUGACGCUGAGGAGCGAAAGCGUGGGGAGCGAACAGGCUUAGAUACCCUGGUAGUCCACGCUGUAAACGGUGGGUACUAGGUGUGGGGUCCAUUCCACGGAUUCCGUGCCGUAGCUAACGCUUUAAGUACCCCGCCUGGGGAGUACGGCCGCAAGGCUAAAACUCAAAGGAAUUGACGGGGCCCCGCACAAGCGGCGGAGCAUGCGGAUUAAUUCGAUGCAACGCGAAGAACCUUACCUGGGUUUGACAUGGAUCAGGAGUGCUCAGAGAUGGGUAUGCCUCUUUUGGGGUUGGUUCACAGGUGGUGCAUGGCUGUCGUCAGCUCGUGUCGUGAGAUGUUGGGUUAAGUCCCGCAACGAGCGCAACCCUCGUUCACUGUUGCCAGCACGUUAUGGUGGGGACUCAGUGGAGACCGCCGGGGUCAACUCGGAGGAAGGUGGGGAUGACGUCAAGUCAUCAUGCCCCUUAUGUCCAGGGCUUCACGCAUGCUACAAUGGCCGGUACAAAGAGUUGCGAGCCUGUGAGGGUGAGCGAAUCUCGGAAAGCCGGUCUCAGUUCGGAUUGGGGUCUGCAACUCGACCUCAUGAAGUCGGAGUCGCUAG